rnacentral:rRNA from 1 species
AAAAUAUCCGCCAGAGGAUUACAAGCCAAAUGCUUGAAACUCUAAGGACUUGGCGGUAUCUCAAACCCACCUAGAGGAGCCUGUCCUAUAAUCGAUAAUCCACGAUUCACCUCACCAUCUCUUGCCAAUACCGCCUAUAUACCGCCGUCACCAGCUGACCUUAUGAAAGGAAAAAAGUAAGCAAAAUAAUCUAAACAAUUAAUAAGUCAGGUCAAGGUGUAGCUUACUGAGAUGGAAGAAAUGGGCUACAUUUUCUAUAAUAGAAAUAACCACGGAAGGAAACCAUGAAACAGGUUCCACAAGUAGGAUUUAGCAGUAAACUGGAACAGAGAGCCCAAUUUAAG